AGUGUGGUACGGCUGUGUGAAAGCUCAGAUAAUGAUGAGAACAUGUAGGACCAGGUGGGCCACAGUGAGACUUGUGGGAUGCCAGAGGGUUUUGACAGGGGAGUGAAUGACGAGGAUAUGUGUUUUUGAAGAGGCCUCUGGAUCUUGAGUAGAAACUAGAUAUUAGAAAGCCAAGAAUAGGUGAGAGGUCUUAAUGGCUGAGAUGGAGAAAAAUGAAAGGUUUCAGGAGAACUCCUGGGGGUAGAGCCAAUAGGGCUUAACUGUUUGGAGAAUAAGAAAAAUACUGCAGUCAAGGUGUUUUAGUAACUGGGCAUGUACGAUUGUUACAUACAACAUGGGAACAUCAUGGGGGAAUCUAAAAAUUCGGUCACAUUUUAAAUUUGAAGUGCUCUUAGGCUUCAAAGCAAAGACAGCACAUAAGCAGUUAAGUUGGGAACUCUACAAGCAGGUAAGGGCCGAGGGUAUAAAUUUGGGACAUCAACAUGUAUGUAAUAACCAAAGGCACACAGAGGAUCACAGAGGGAGAGAGCUAUGAUAGGAAAGAGUAUAGGGCCUAGGACUUCAGUUUUGGGAAGCUCCAACCUUUAGAGGUCUGAUAGCAGAGGUAUAGCCAAAAAAGAAAACUGAAGGGUCAUUGAAAUAGGAGGGGGGACAAGACAGUACAUCUUAGAGGACAAUGUUAGCUUUCAAUUACUGAGAUGUAUUCUUUGCCAGGCACCAGUCUAAACUCUGUUCAGGUACCAGUUCAUUUCAUCUUCACAACAACCACAUGACCUAGGUAUGCAUAAGUACUUUAAAAUUUUCUCCUUAUAGAAAGGAGAAUGAGAAAAAUUAAGAACAUAAAGUAUCUCAAAAAAGAGGGAAUUAUGUCAAAUGUGUUGAGAGGCUGAGGUUGAAGAAGAUAAGGACAAAAGUGAUCCUUGAAUUUGAUAAGCUGAAGGUCACCGGUGAUCUUGGAAAAAAGUUUCAAGAGAAUACGAAGGGUGGGAACC